AUACAGAGGGUGCAAGCGUUAAUCGGAUUUACUGGGCGUAAAGCGCGCGUAGGUGGCUAAUUAAGUCAAAUGUGAAAUCCCCGAGCUUAACUUGGGAAUUGCAUUCGAUACUGGUUAGCUAGAGUAUGGGAGAGGAUGGUAGAAUUCCAGGUGUAGCGGUGAAAUGCGUAGAGAUCUGGAGGAAUACCGAUGGCGAAGGCAGCCAUCUGGCCUAAUACCGACACUGAGGUGCGAAAGCAUGGGGAGCAAACAGGAUUAGAUACCCUGGUAGUCCAUGCCGUAAACGAUGUCUACUAGCCGUUGGGGCCCUUGAGGCUUUAGUGGCGCAGCUAACGCGAUAAGUAGACCGCCUGGGGAGUACGGUCGCAAGACUAAAACUCAAAGGAAUUGACGGGG
rnacentral:rRNA from 1 species